rnacentral:rRNA from 1 species
AUUGAACGCUGGCGGCAGGCCUAACACAUGCAAGUCGAGCGAGCGGCGGACGGGUGAGUAAUGUAUGGGAAACUGCCCGAUAGAGGGGGAUAACUACUGGAAACGGUGGCUAAUACCGCAUACUAUCGGAUGAACCCAAAUGGGAUUAGCUAGUAGGUGGGGUAAAGGCUCACCUAGGCGACGAUCCCUAGCUGGGCUGAGAGGAUGAUCAGCCACACUGGAACUGAGACACGGCCCAGACUCCUACGGGAGGCAGCAGUGGGGAAUAUUGCACAAGGGGCGCAAGCCUGAUGCAGCAAUGCCGCGUGUAUUAAGAAGGCCUUAGGGUUGUAAAGUACUUUCAGCGGGGAGGCGUUACCCGCAGAAGAAGCACCGGCUAACUCCGUGCCAGCAGCCGCGGUAAUUC